GAUGAACGCUGGCGGCGUGCCUAAUACAUGCAAGUCGAGCGAACAGACGAGGAGCUUGCUCCUCUGACGUUAGCGGCGGACGGGUGAGUAACACGUGGAUAACCUACCUAUAAGACUGGGAUAACUUCGGGAAACCGGAGCUAAUACCGGAUAAUAUAUUGAACCGCAUGGUUCAAUAGUGAAAGACGGUUUUGCUGUCACUUAUAGAUGGAUCCGCGCCGCAUUAGCUAGUUGGUAAGGUAACGGCUUACCAAGGCAACGAUGCGUAGCCGACCUGAGAGGAUGAUCGGCCACACUGGAACUGAGACACGGUCCAGACUCCUACGGGAGGCAGCAGUAGGGAAUCUUCCGCAAUGGGCGAAAGCCUGACGGAGCAACGCCGCGUGAGUGAUGAAGGUCUUCGGAUCGUAAAACCCUGUUAUUAGGGAAGAACAAAUGUGUAAGUAACUAUGCACGUCUUGACGGUACCUAAUCAGAAAGCCACGGCUAACUACGUG
rnacentral:rRNA from 1 species